UACGUAGGUGACAAGCGUUGUCCGGAUUUACUGGGCGUAAAGAGCGCGCAGGCGGUCGUUUCAAGUCGAGUGUGAAAGCCCCCGGCUCAACUGGGGAGGGUCAUUCGAUACUGAUCGACUCGAAGGCAGGAGAGGGUAGUGGAAUUCCCGGUGUAGUGGUGAAAUGCGUAGAUAUCGGGAGGAACACCAGUGGCGAAGGCGGCUCUCUGGGCAGAUACCGACGCUGAGACGCGAAAGCGUGGGAAGCAAACAGG
rnacentral:rRNA from 1 species